CUGGAUCUGGCUGUGGCAAAGAUGAAAGCACAUUUUCAUUGCCAUUCAAAGUCAAACACUGAAAGCAAAUCAAACAUAAGAUAAAGAAAUACAGUCCUUGCACAACUCCCUGAACAGAACACUUUAAGGGAAGAAGGACACAGUUGGACCUACAAUUUGAUCGUGACUGAAUGACUUAAAAAGAACAAGUUUAAAAUGACCAAAUGUUUGUGCAAGGGGCAAGCAGCCAAUCAGCCAUAAAUUC
rnacentral:lncRNA from 1 species